UGGAAGUGAGAUACUCAGCAAUUAUAAGGUCUGAUGUUGUUGACACUAUGCACUUCCCAUAUGAACUCUGCCCUCUGAUGACUACAAAAUACUGAGCUAGUUUUGUAGACAGAUACGGGGCAUACAGUU